GUGUGUGGAGAGGGUGUAUGUAUACUCAUAUAUUUUUAUACAUGCUAUAAUGUAUAUGCAUACAUGAGCAUACAUUGUAUGGGUGGUGUUAGUGACUAACAUAUCGAAAUCUCUACACAAGCAAAAGCAAUACAUUAACAAAACAAGCAAUCAAACAAAGAACCUAAUGGUCGCGCCGGGAGGAAAACAAGGAUUUAAUUUUAGAAGAAUUUUGGUGGAAGAAUCAUCGGUACUAGAGUUUGCAUGGGAGAGAUAUGAUUUUUGGGAGUUUAUAGGGAAUUUCUGGGAUUUAUCAGGGUUUAUAUGAGGUGACAAAUAUUUUCCCAGAAUUUUUGGAUGAUGGAAAAGAGGUGCAAAAGGUCUGGGUAGGUUCCAGGGUGGCUCUAGUAUUUUGAAAGUUUCUAGGAAUUUUUGUGUGAAG
rnacentral:lncRNA from 1 species